rnacentral:rRNA from 1 species
GACGAACGCUGGCGGCGUGCUUAACACAUGCAAGUCGAACGAAGAGCGACGGAAGCUUGCUUCUAUCAAUCUCAGUGGCGAACGGGUGAGUAACGCGUAAUCAACCUGCCCUUCAGAGGGGGACAACAGUUGGAAACGACUGCUAAUACCGCAUACGAUCUAAUCUCGGCAUCGAGGAUGGAUGAAAGGUGGCCUCUACAUGUAAGCUAUCACUGAAGGAGGGGAUUGCGUCUGAUUAGCUAGUUGGAGGGGUAACGGCCCACCAAGGCGAUGAUCAGUAGCCGGUCUGAGAGGAUGAACGGCCACAUUGGGACUGAGACACGGCCCAGACUCCUACGGGAGGCAGCAGUGGGGAAUCUUCCGCAAUGGACGAAAGUCUGACGGAGCAACGCCGCGUGAGUGAUGACGGCCUUCGGGUUGUAAAGCUCUGUUAAUCGGGACGAAAGGCCUUCUUGCGAAUAGUGAGAAGGAUUGACGGUACCGGAAUAGAAAGCCACGGCUAACUACGUG